GUUCACUUUCCUAUUUCUCUAAUAGCUUCCCAAGCGGAGGCCUUAAAAGAGGAGAACGGCUCUCUCUCCACUGCCAGCUGGACGCCUACAGGAACGGGGUGGAGCUCCUCAGUUCCUGUUCUCCUCAGAACAGGAACAAGGCAAGAAGCACCCAAUGAGCAGCGAGGAGGACACCACACACUCAGAGCAGCUCAGCUUCCUGCAGCAGGCCCUGCAUGCAGAAGGUCCGCGUUGGUCCCAAGACGCAAUGUACAAGGAAGGAUGAUUAAUGCAAAAUGAAUGCAGCAAACAACUACAUCCUGGUAUCGUCGAUAUGCAGCAACUUCUGAGGGAUGAGUUGAAGGAGCAAUCUGCAGAGCUUGAAAAAACUAUAUAUAGAAGACAAACAGCAAUUGAAGAACCAACUCUAUGACCUCACAACAGGACCGCACAACCUGCAGACUACACACACACACACACACACACACACACACACACAGGUCAGAAGAAAACAAGCACAUGGUUACCAGUAAAUGUUAUAUGGGAAACCUGAUGUCCUAAACAAAGAUGAAUCCUGAGGAACCCUGAUUUAUCAAUUUGUGCUCUACCAGCUUGUGUCCAUGUUUAUGACAAAAUUCUGUGGAGAAGUAGAACAGAGCAGCAGCUGGAUGGUAGGAGAGAUUAUUAGAUGAAAAUACCUCAAUCCAAAAUCUGGUUUACACUCCAAUACACUGGAUGGCUAUUGCUGAUAAGAAAUGGAAGGAAAAAAUGAAAGCUAAGAGCUAU
ensembl:lncRNA